CCUACGGGUGGCAGCAGUAGGGAAUCUUCCACAAUGGGCGAAAGCCUGAUGGAGCAACGCCGCGUGGGUGAAGAAGGUCUUCGGAUCGUAAAACCCUGUUGUUAGAGAAGAAAGUGCGGGAGAGUAACUGUUCACGUUUCGACUGUAUCUAACCAGAAAGCCACGGCUAACUACGUGCCAGCAGCCGCGGUAAUACGUAGGGGUCAAGCGUUAUCCGGCUGUAUUGGGCGUAAAGGGAACGCAGGCGGUCUUUUAAGUCUGAUGUGAAAGUCUUCGGCUUAACCGGAGUAGUGCAUUGGAUACUGGGAGACUUGAGUGCAGUAGAGGAGGGUGGAACUCCAUGUGUAGCGGUGAAAUGCUUAGAUAUAUGGAAGAACACCAGUGGCGAAAGCAGCUCACUGGUCUGUAACUGACGCUGAGGUUCGAAAGCGUGGGUAGCAAACAGGAUUAGAUACCCGAGUAGUC
rnacentral:rRNA from 1 species